GGGUCGGAUCUUUUUUUCCGAAACGGAUCCCUCCAGCUCCGGAACCCGCCAUCAUUAGGGUUUCGAGCUCUGAGCAUGGGAGGGCGAUGCACUGCUCGAGCCGACGAUGACGUUCGAGUUCGCAAGAAUACCAUUCCCGUCCUCUCGGCCAAACCAGGAUCGCGCAAAUGGCGUUGCGGGUCGGCGAAGAAAUGGCGAAAGGGAUCAAAUGUUCACCAUAUUGUGCUUGCUGCAACAAACUGAUGUUCGUGGGCGAGGCUGAAUGGUGAAAUGGCAUAAUGUAAGGUAUAUCUGAGAGCUCCUAUUACUGUCUUCAUUUUUGACCCACGUCCUAUAAUUGUGGUGACUCCUCUUUUACCAGGCUAUAUGAGUGUAAACCUCUGUCAGCUUGCCAAAUGGUUGCUAGGAGUACAUCCUUCGUAGAUAGGUGAGCUGAUUUGCUGUUUUGCACUUCAUUGUCUUGUAUUUGUCACCACGCACUCUCCACAACACUUUGUGGGCGCCUGAAGGCUGACAUAUAUUAGCUUCUGUCAUAUUUCCUCCCAUUCAAAGUACGUUCUUUUUCAGGUUUUCCUUGUGAGUGCUAUGUUUUUUCCUCAGAUUUUUUGGGCUAAAUUCUCAGAAUGUGCUUGUUAUCAAGGUCAUGAUUCUGGUGCCAUCAAGGACAGAUGACGUGGUUUCUCGUGGAUUCCAUCCAUUCUUAACUACCACCAUCUCCAACAGAGAUUUUGAAGAUUCCAGUUUGGUUAAGGACCAAGACACCUACUCAACCAAUCAGUAGUGUAGUGAAGUAAUCACACAGCGUGACUGAAUGUGUUCAUGCUCGAGCGUUUCUUUUGUGGGAAAUGCUUGAUGAAGCUUGGUGAAUUUCUCGGGGCUAUGAAUCACCACAAUUGAUGGGGUCUUCUGGAUCGAGCUCUUGUGAAUGUCCAAUUUACAUCGAACUGUUUACUAGUGUUUUGAGUGGUCAAUUUGUACGGUAGUGUUGUGUAAAACACAUUUUAUGAGUGGUGAGGUAGAAUGUUAUGGGCUCCUUUUGCUGAGGAGUGAUUAGAAAGUUCAUCGAUGCCUUCUUUUGAAGGGUAAUAUGAACAAAUGGUCAUGACUUGUGAUAA